rnacentral:rRNA from 1 species
UACGGAGGAUGCAAGCGUUAUCCGGAUUUAUUGGGUUUAAAGGGUGCGUAGGCGGUUUUAUAAGUCAGUGGUGAAAGACUGUUGCCCAACGAUAGCAUUGCCAUUGAUACUGUAGGACUUGAGUAUAUUUGAGGUGGGCGGAAUGUGUAGUGUAGCGGUGAAAUGCUUAGAUAUUACACAGAACACCAAUUGCGAAGGCAGCUCACUAAACUAUAACUGACGCUGAGGCACGAAAGCGUGGGGAUCAAACAGG